CCAGACUCCUACGGGAGGCAGCAGUGGGGAAUAUUGCACAAUGGGCGCAAGCCUGAUGCAGCGACGCCGCGUGCGGGAUGACGGCCUUCGGGUUGUAAACCGCUUUUGACUGGGAGCAAGCCCUUCGGGGUGAGUGUACCUUUCGAAUAAGCACCGGCUAACUACGUGCCAGCAGCCGCGGUAAUACGUAGGGUGCAAGCGUUAUCCGGAAUUAUUGGGCGUAAAGGGCUCGUAGGCGGUUCGUCGCGUCCGGUGUGAAAGUCCAUCGCUUAACGGUGGAUCCGCGCCGGGUACGGGCGGGCUUGAGUGCGGUAGGGGAGACUGGAAUUCCCGGUGUAACGGUGGAAUGUGUAGAUAUCGGGAAGAACACCAAUGGCGAAGGCAGGUCUCUGGGCCGUCACUGACGCUGAGGAGCGAAAGCGUGGGGAGCGAACAGGAUUAGAUACCCUGGUAGUCCACGCCGUAAACGGUGGAUGCUGGAUGUGGGGACCAUUCCACGGUCUCCGUGUCGGAGCCAACGCGUUAAGCAUCCCGCCUGGGGAGUACGGCCGCAAGGCUAAAACUCAAAGAAAUUGACGGGGGCCCGCACAAGCGGCGGAGCAUGCGGAUUAAUUCGAUGCAACGCGAAGAACCUUACCUGGGCUUGACAUGUUCCCGACAGCCCCAGAGAUGGGGCCUCCCUUCGGGGCGGGUUCACAGGUGGUGCAUGGUCGUCGUCAGCUCGUGUCGUGAGAUGUUGGGUUAAGUCCCGCAACGAGCGCAACCCUCGCCCUGUGUUGCCAGCACGUCGUGGUGGGAACUCACGGGGGACCGCCGGGGUCAACUCGGAGGAAGGUGGGGAUGACGUCAGAUCAUCAUGCCCCUUACGUCCAGGGCUUCACGCAUGCUACAAUGGCCGGUACAACGGGAUGCGACCUCGUGAGGGGGAGCGGAUCCCUUAAAACCGGUCUCAGUUCGGAUUGGAGUCUGCAACCCGACUCCAUGAAGGCGGAGUCGCUAGUAAUCGCGGAUCAGCAACGCCGCGGUGAAUGCGUUCCCGGGCCUUGUACACACCGCCCGUCAAGUCAUGAAAGUGGGUAGCACCCGAAGCCGGUGGCCCAACCUUUUGGGGGGAGCCGUCUAAGGUGAGACUCGUGAUUGGGACUAAGUCGUAACAAGGUAGCCGUACCGGAAGGUGCGGCUG
rnacentral:rRNA from 1 species